rnacentral:rRNA from 1 species
GCGCAGGCGGUUAGAUAAGUCUGAAGUUAAAGGCUGUGGCUUAACCAUAGUAUGCUUUGGAAACUGUUUAACUUGAGUGCAGAAGGGGAGAGUGGAAUUCCAUGUGUAGCGGUGAAAUGCGUAGAUAUAUGGAGGAACACCGGUGGCGAAAGCGGCUCUCUGGUCUGUAACUGACGCUGAGGCUCGAAAGCGUGGGGAGCAAACAGGAUUAGAUACCCUGGUAGUCCACGCCGUAAACGAUGAGUGCUAGGUGUUGGGUCCUUUCCGGGACUCAGUGCCGCAGCUAACGCAUUAAGCACUCCGCCUGGGGAGUACGACCGCAAGGUUGAAACUC